GGUUGUAUAGUGUAGCGGUUAUCACAUCGGAUUCUGAUCAAGAUUGUUUCAAAAUUCCGGGAACCCCGGUUCGAUUCCGGGUACGACCU
rfam:Cyphellophora europaea CBS 101466 unplaced genomic scaffold supercont1.3, whole genome shotgun sequence.